AGAGUUUGAUCAGCUUAGAAGGGGAACGCUGGCGGCAGGCUUAACACAUGCAAGUGCAGUUGAAGAUGAGGGCGAGAGGGAAGCUUGCUUCUCUGCUGACGAGUGGCGGACGGGUGAGUAAUGUCUGGGAAGCUGCCUGCUUGAGGGGGAUAGCGGAGCGAAAGUUCCGAUAAUACCGCGUAAGCCCGAGAGGGGAAAGUGCGGGACCGCAAGGCCGCACGCGAGCAGAUGCGCCCAGAUGGGAUUAGGCAGUUGGGGAGGUAACGGCUCACCAAACCGAUGAUCUCUAGCUGGUUUGAGAGGACAAUCAGCCACAUUGGAAUUGAGAAACGGACCAAACUCCUACGGUAGGCAGCAGUGGGGAAUAUUGCACAAUGGGGGAUUUUUGAUGCAGCCAUGCCGCGUGUGUGAAGAAGGCCUUCGGGUUGUAAAGCACUUUUGCAUUCGAGGAAGACAGCACGUAAAUAAACGUGUUAUUUGACGUUAGAGUGUGAAUAAGCACCGGCAAACUCCGUGCCAGCAGCCGCGGUAAUACGGAGGGUGCGAGCGUUAAUCGGAAUGACUGGGCGUAAAGGGCACGCAGGUGGCGAGAUAAGUUGGAUGUGAAAUUCCCGUGCUUAACAUGGGGACUGCAUCCAAAACUGUUGAACUGGAGUACUGUAGAGGGAGGUAGAAUUCCACGUGUAGCGGUGAAAUGCGUAGAGAUGUGGAAGAAUACCAGAGGCGAAGGCGGCCUCCUGGACAGAUACUGACACUGAGGUGCGAAAGCGUGGGUAGCAAACAGGAUUAGAUACCCUGGUAGUCCGCGCCGUAAACGAUGUUAACUUGAAAUAUGCGUACUACGGUAUGUGUGUUUCGCAGCAAACGCCAUAAGUUAACCGCCUGGGGAGUACGAUCGCAAGGUUAAAACUCAAAUGAAUUGACGGGGGCCCGCACAAGCGGUGGAGCAUGUGGUUUAAUUCGAUGCAACGCGAAGAACCUUACCUGGCCUUGAGAUACCGGGAAUCCUGCAGAGAUGCGGGAGUGCCUUCGGGAACCCGGAUACAGGUGCUGCAUGGCUGUCGUCAGCUCGUGUCGUGAGAUGUUGGGUUAAGUCCCGCAACGAGCGCAACCCUUAUCCUCUGUUGCCAGCACUUCGGGUGGGAACUCAGAGGGGACUGCCAGUUAUAAACUGGAGGAAGGCGGGGAUGACGUCAAGUCAUCAUGGCCCUUACGGCCAGGGCUACACACGUGCUACAAUGGGGCGUACAGAGGGAAGCCAAGCCGUGAGGCGGAGCGGAUCUCACAAAGCGUCCCGUAGUUCGGAUUGAAGUCUGCAACUCGGCUUCAUGAAGUCGGAAUCGCUAGUAAUCGCGAAUCAGAAUGUCGCGGUGAAUACGUUCCCGGGCCUUGUACACACCGCCCGUCACGCCAUGGGAGCGGAAUGCACCAGAAGCAGCUUGCUUAACAGCAAUGGGGGCGGCUGCCACGGUGUGUUUUGUAACUGGGGUGAAGUCGUAACAAGGUAACCGUAAGAGUUUGAUCAGCUUAGAAGGGGAACGCUGGCGGCAGGCUUAACACAUGCAAGUGCAGUUGAAGAUGAGGGCGAGAGGGAAGCUUGCUUCUCUGCUGACGAGUGGCGGACGGGUGAGUAAUGUCUGGGAAGCUGCCUGCUUGAGGGGGAUAGCGGAGCGAAAGUUCCGAUAAUACCGCGUAAGCCCGAGAGGGGAAAGUGCGGGACCGCAAGGCCGCACGCGAGCAGAUGCGCCCAGAUGGGAUUAGGCAGUUGGGGAGGUAACGGCUCACCAAACCGAUGAUCUCUAGCUGGUUUGAGAGGACAAUCAGCCACAUUGGAAUUGAGAAACGGACCAAACUCCUACGGUAGGCAGCAGUGGGGAAUAUUGCACAAUGGGGGAUUUUUGAUGCAGCCAUGCCGCGUGUGUGAAGAAGGCCUUCGGGUUGUAAAGCACUUUUGCAUUCGAGGAAGACAGCACGUAAAUAAACGUGUUAUUUGACGUUAGAGUGUGAAUAAGCACCGGCAAACUCCGUGCCAGCAGCCGCGGUAAUACGGAGGGUGCGAGCGUUAAUCGGAAUGACUGGGCGUAAAGGGCACGCAGGUGGCGAGAUAAGUUGGAUGUGAAAUUCCCGUGCUUAACAUGGGGACUGCAUCCAAAACUGUUGAACUGGAGUACUGUAGAGGGAGGUAGAAUUCCACGUGUAGCGGUGAAAUGCGUAGAGAUGUGGAAGAAUACCAGAGGCGAAGGCGGCCUCCUGGACAGAUACUGACACUGAGGUGCGAAAGCGUGGGUAGCAAACAGGAUUAGAUACCCUGGUAGUCCGCGCCGUAAACGAUGUUAACUUGAAAUAUGCGUACUACGGUAUGUGUGUUUCGCAGCAAACGCCAUAAGUUAACCGCCUGGGGAGUACGAUCGCAAGGUUAAAACUCAAAUGAAUUGACGGGGGCCCGCACAAGCGGUGGAGCAUGUGGUUUAAUUCGAUGCAACGCGAAGAACCUUACCUGGCCUUGAGAUACCGGGAAUCCUGCAGAGAUGCGGGAGUGCCUUCGGGAACCCGGAUACAGGUGCUGCAUGGCUGUCGUCAGCUCGUGUCGUGAGAUGUUGGGUUAAGUCCCGCAACGAGCGCAACCCUUAUCCUCUGUUGCCAGCACUUCGGGUGGGAACUCAGAGGGGACUGCCAGUUAUAAACUGGAGGAAGGCGGGGAUGACGUCAAGUCAUCAUGGCCCUUACGGCCAGGGCUACACACGUGCUACAAUGGGGCGUACAGAGGGAAGCCAAGCCGUGAGGCGGAGCGGAUCUCACAAAGCGUCCCGUAGUUCGGAUUGAAGUCUGCAACUCGGCUUCAUGAAGUCGGAAUCGCUAGUAAUCGCGAAUCAGAAUGUCGCGGUGAAUACGUUCCCGGGCCUUGUACACACCGCCCGUCACGCCAUGGGAGCGGAAUGCACCAGAAGCAGCUUGCUUAACAGCAAUGGGGGCGGCUGCCACGGUGUGUUUUGUAACUGGGGUGAAGUCGUAACAAGGUAACCGUA
rnacentral:rRNA from 1 species